AUACGUCUUUCUGUUCUCUUGCUGUUGGUGUUUGCAGGCGGGUGCCUGUUCUGCUUCUAAGAGGAAAUCUUUAAGAACUGCAAUGUGAUAGUUGCGAUGGCGCGCUGCAUCCCAAUCGCAACCAUCUGUCUCCUGGAAAGAGCGUCACGCGGGGAAAACUCCACCGCCUGGCUUAGCGGGGCCGUUUUAAAAAGGCUCGUCUAGACCAGCGUUCCCAACCUCAGCAACCUUUAAGAUCUGUGGACUUCAACCUCAUGCUGGCUAAGGAAUUCUGGGAGUUGAAGUAUACACAUGGCCAGCUCUGAACUUUGAGUCGUUGGCCCUUUGUGUACUGUAUUGCGGAAGCCGGGAACGACGAAAUAAAAGGGCCUCAAACAACCGGGCGAUCAUGUCUGUUUUGCAACAAAGCGUGCAUGUUCUAAUGAUAUGUUGAUAUGAAUUCACCACCAUUAUAGUACUCAUAAUUCUAUGAGCCCUCCAGAGGUGUGCCUAAACGGUGACAGGAAUAUUUAAAAAGCAUAAAUACAAGAAAAUGUCAAGCGGCAGCUUCUGAAAGAUCGAUUGGAUUUCGUGAAAAGAUGGAAGAGAACCACCACGGGACGACCAACCGCAACCGCUAGCAGGAAAACACGUGAGUGCGGAAAAAUCGGAUGAAAACGAAAGGGAAAGGAAAUCUGCUGACGGCGCCGCGCGUGAUCUGAGGAGCAAAACGGCCCAAGCUGUAAACAAGAGUGAAAGCGAGCCCGACCGCUGAGGAGGAUCGCGUCCCGCGGUGGGGUUUAACGCCUUCGGCGGCGUCGGCAAGCAAGUAUUCAAGUGGAAAAUGCAGCUGAAAUUCCAACGAACCAUUGUUGAGUUCAUUAAAGGGUUAAGAGAGUCGAGCUCCUGCCUCUUGUAUCUGAGUAAUCUCUCCCUUGCUUUUGGCUGUAAUGCUUUGCUAUUUUAUGCCCUUGUCUGGGAAGCUGGGAAUAUCAUCAACCUUCCCACCAAAAGAAUUGGCUUCUACAAUUUUUGCUUGUGGAAUCAGAAAGCAGAACUGGAUUGCCUCAUGAUCAGAGACUUGGAGAAGUUAGGGAUCAGCAAGGUUGCAAUGGUGCUGUCGAGAGUCUGUGUAUACAUCAGCCUGGUUUUGUGCCUCUUCGCUGCAACUACAGUCGUGCAGCAGGCCCUAUGCUUCAAAGACAGAGACGGAUGGAAACUGGCUCGGAUUCUUCUGUCUGUCAGCAGUUUGAGUUUGCCUCUUGGUCUUGCUUUGUUUAUCUUUCCCAAUCAGAGAUGGAUUCAAGUCUCUGAACUCAGUAAGGGUUUUGCAGCCCUUGUUGGGGCUUAUAUUUUACUUCUCCUCCACCUGCUCAUAAUUAUCCUCUACCUUGCAAAGUUCAAAGAGACUCUUCCUGAGAGACAGUUUACUCCUAUAUAGAGCCUUCCAUGAGAAUUUUUCUUCACACUGAAUGGCAAAAUAGACCACAAGAAUUCAUCAUGCAACUCCAGCCUCUGUUGUUUGUUUAUAGUUUGGUGUACUGGAUGAACCCAGAAGAUUAAAUAAAUCAUGGCCAAGUUGAAUAUGGAAUAACAUGUUUGGCAAACACAGCCAAUGUGAGGCAACAUCUGAAUAUAACAAACACUGUGGUGAAUUGAGUGGGGGGACCAGUGCAAAAAUACCUUCCAAGGCCUGAAUGAAUUGAAUUCAGGGAAUGCUCUCUAAUAUGAGUGAACUGGAAGAGAGGUAACACUUUUAACACAUAUACUUAUGCAUAGUCUCCCCUAUUUCAAGGGCUGGAAAAUCAACUGUUGCCCUCUGAAGAGGAACCACACUUAGAUUUAAGCAUUUUCUUUUGGUUUGGGGAAAGGAUUACAGUAAGGCAAAAAGGAGUACAUUAAGUAUUGAGCCUCCAUAAAAUCCCUCAGGCCUCCUUCCACAAUGGGGUUUAGUCUCUUCUAUUUUUGGAACACAGCCCUUGCUGUACAAAGCAUGGUAUGGCCUGUAAGCUGACAGAAAUUGCACACUCCUCUUUCAAGACAAGAGUAGUCAGCUACUGCUUCCUAGUAUUGAAACUUUCCUUGGGAGCUAACUUGGGAAUUCUCGUAUUGUUUGAGACAUUAAUUGAAUCUAUGCGGUUCUGUGAAUGUUGGCUUGCCUUGAAAACCAGAUCUUUUCCCCUGCCUACAUGUCCCCACACAUUCUGAGAUCAACAGAAUAUCCAGUGCGCCGUUGCAUGGAAGAGGGACUUGUGUGGCUGCUUCUCUUCUCCAUUCUGAAGCACAACGUAUGGUGGUUCAUAUUUUGUCAACUGACUUUCUGCCAGAAACAAAGUAAUUUGUAAAGUAAGUGAAAUCAUCUUAAUUAUUACCAGAUGUGUCAGAGUUCCAUUUGUAAAACAGCAUAACUUAAAGGGAAACUUUCUUCUAUGUAGUAUUUCUAUACUUUUUCCAUUUCUGACAUAUAUUAGAAUACAUUGUUUGUAAGCUAGUAUAAAUCUAGGCAAUUACAACUGAUGCAUUGAACUAUGAUUAAACAAAUUAUAGCACUUAAUUUAGUAUGAAGGUGGCCAGCGUAAAGAAAAGUAAGAACUAUAGAAUUCAAGUCUUCCGAGUCAAGCAAAAAAAAAAAAGUGCUUA